ACCUACUCUCUCCACAACUAAGUUUCCACACCUGUGAAAUGCGAACAAUUAGAGCAUCUACUUUGUCAUAUUGUCAUGAAGAUUUCAUGGGAUGGUACAUGUUAUGCACAAUGAAAAACCCAACAAAUGGUAGAAAUUAAUACCCUAGAAGGCAUUUAUUGUACCCUUUUUACAGAUGAGGAAAUUAAGCCUCAGAGAGGCUAAAGGGCUGCAGUCUCACAAUUGGUUAGUAAGAAAGCCAAGGUUCAGCUCAGCCUCCUAGCGCCACAACCAGGGCACUUGCCUCUUCACUGCUGGUGUAGAUGAUUGAAGAUGGCUCUGGGCCAUAGGUCAGAAGGGUCUGUCCCUAGCAUCAUGGAAUGACAUUAUUUAUUAAGCCCUCACAUGCUCAAGGUACUGGGAAAUGGAUGCUUCAGGGGUGAGGUAGGCUUUCAUGUGCAGCUUUUUUAUCAAGCAGUCUUUACACAGACACCAGCUAGGAAAUGAAGCCUGGAGCUAAGCCCUAACCCAAGCCCAGGGAAGCUGGGCUCGGGGGUUAGGUCAGAAGUCCUAGAAUAUUCUCAACUUUCCUUCCCUUUGGCAAUGCUUCCUUGAUGCUCUAAGAAUACUUUGUUUACGCUGAUACUAGAGCCUUCUUCAUACCCUCUCAGUUAUAGUAUUUUUGAGUAUCUGUCUGAUUUCCCUUUGGAAUGGUGGCUCCAAAGCAGGGUGCCUAAGAUGAUACACUGAGAUGUGGAAAGGAAAUAUUUGAACACUUGCUUCUAUUUAUUCUUUAAUCUAAAGUACUAGGGAAUACUAAGCUUUACCAAUAUUUAAAAAUUAGUAGAGUAUAACACAUAUACUUUAUAAUAAAUAUGCAAUUAUUAGGAGUACCUGCUUAAUAUUUUUGAUGGCGUGGAAUGAUGAAAAGAAUUUGGACAUAACUGUUCUAGAAAGCAAGCCCCUCGAGGGCAAGAAAUGUAUUUAGCUCUGAUUUGUAUCCCACCUUCAUCCCUAGUAUCCAGCACUUAACCAUUCCCCAAACAAAUGAAUUUGGCAUCUUUAUGAACUUCGUUGACUUUCUUUGCUUUUUUCUCCUCCUUUAGUCACCCAUCUGAUAUAAUCCCAUGUCCUGUUCAACAUUCUGCCAAGAUUGAGCAAAUAAUAAAGCUGUGCUUGAGAAGUGAAGAGUGCAAGUGCCAUGAGCAGGAUGAAAAGAACAAGACUGAAAUACAAAUAAAAGCAAAAACAAACAAGUGGAGCAUAAUCAAACCUAUAAGCUUUUGCAGAAGAAACCAUAAACAAAACAAAAAGCCUACAGAAUGGGAGAGAAUAUUUGCAAACGAUGCUACUGAUAAGGGACUAAAUUCCAAAAUAUACAGAUAGCUCAUACAACUCAAUAACAAAAAACAAAAACAAAAAACAAAAAUACAAGCAACCGAAUCAAAAAGUAGGCAGAGACCUAAAUAGACAUUUCUCCAAAGAAGACAUACAGAUGGCCAAUAUACAUGAAAAGGUGCUCAACAUUGCUAGCUAUUAGAGAAAUACAAAUCAAAACUAUGGUGAGGUACCACUUCACUCUGGUCAGAAUGGCCAUUAUUAAAACAUCUACAAAUAAUAAAUGCUGGAGACAGUGUGGAGAAAAGGGAACUCUCCUACACUGUUGGUGGGAAUGUAAAUUUGUGCAACCACUAAUGAAAACAGUAUGAAUGCUCCUUAAAAAACUAAAAAUAGGGACUUCCCCGGCGGUCCAGUGGUUAAGGCUCUGAGCUUCCAAUAUGGGGGAUACAGGUUUGAUCCCUGGUUGGGGAACUAAGAUCCCACAUGCCUCAUGGGGCAGCCAAAAAAAAAAAACUAACUAAAAAUAGAGUUAUCAUACGAUCCCACAAUCCCACUCCUGGGUGUAUAUCCAGAAAAGAUGAAAAUACUAUUUCAAAAAGAUACAUGCACCCCAAUGUUCACUGCAGCACUAUUUACAAUAGGAAGCAACCUAAAUGUCCAUUGACAGAUGAAUGGAUAAAGAAGAUGUGGUGCAUAUAUACGAUGGAAUAUUACUCAGCUGUAAAAGAGAAUGAAAUAAUGCCAUUUGCAGCAACAUAGAUGAACCUAGAGAUUAUCCUACUAAGUGAAGUAAGUCAGACACAGAAAGACAAAUAUCAUAUGAUAUCACUUACAUGUGGAAUCUAAAAAAAUGAUACAAAUGAACUUAUUUACAAAACAGAAACAUACUCACAAAUAUAGAAAACAAACUUAUGGUUACCAAAGAGGAAAGAGGGAGGGUGAUAAAUUAGGAGUUUGGGAUUAGCAGAUACGAACUACUAAGUAUAAAAUAGAUUAAACAACAAGAUUCUACUGAUUGGCACAGGGAACUAUAUUCAAUCUCCUGUUAUAAACCAUAAUUGAAAAGAAUAUGAAAAAGUAUAACAUAUUGUUAUAGUAUAUAUAACUGAAUCACUUUGCUGUACACCAGAAACUAACACAUUAUAAAUCAACUAUACUUCAAUUAUAGAUAAAUAAACAAAGACUGAAAGUCCCAAAGAAGAUAGUUAAUGGUAGUUUAAGGUAGACAACAGGCAAGAGUAAAACAUCAUGGAAGAACCACGGGCACAAAGCCAGGCAUGGAGCACCAGCUCUGCUAACUGAGAAAUCAGUGUUGGUUUGAGCAUCUGAAUGUUUUCAAACUGAGCACCAUCCUCCCUCUUCCUCCUAAAGCUUCAGAAAACAAUGCAAUACAAUACGAUGAGCAAGGAUCUUGGAGGAGUCUCAACUCUGUCACUCUCCUUGGCUGAGUGAUCUUGGGUGAGGCCUCUAACCUCUUCCCCCUCCUCUCCUCCCAGGAAAAGAGCUCUUUACCUACAAAUGAGGUUGGACUAGAUGAUUAUGGAGGUCCCUUCACGCUCUGAAGCAACCCCAAAUAUAGAUGAAGUUGGUGGUUUUCUACAUGAGACAACCACACUUUGAGGGGCACCAUGAGGCCCAGCUGGACCAAAAACAUCACCUUACCACCAAGCCUUGCAUGUGUAAAUUCCAGGAGGGCAGGAACCGUGUCAGUUUUGUUUACCACCUCAUGCUUGGCAUUCAACACAGUCCCGUGAACAAGUGAACUGUACUCCACUAUAGUACUUUGCUCUCCCAGCCAUCAUGCAGUGAAAUUAUAGUUGAGACCUGUUAAGCGCUUGAGUCCAACUUCAGAGGCACCUGAGAAGAGGAGGGAAAGGACAGAUCUACCCUACAGUGAUGAGGAACCAAAGCUGGAAGAAUUGAUCUAACUUGAGAGACGGCCCAUGAUUAGCAAAUGUCAUCCCUGGACUAAAGCCCCUGGCUCCCUGACUCCUAGUUCAGCUGUCUUUCUAUCAUUUCCAUAAUGGGAGCUGAGCAAAGAUAAUUGAAAACGCAUUUAUCUCUGGUUUUCUAAAGCUUGAGAGCGCUGAAAUUAAAAGAGAGGAGGAGGCUGAAGUGGGGUGAAAGGUGUAAAAAAGCAGAUUUACUUACCCGGUUUCACAUUACUUUCCUGAGUUUACAUUGCUUGAACACACACACACUGAUGCUGGAGGGAAGUGGUAGAGCGUAGCCAACAUGGGAUUAAAGACCGCAUUACAUCAAUCCACAAAGUAAAUAAUCUACAUGUACACAAUGGAAGGGAGUGUGACAGGGUAUCUUUUUUGUCCUCUCACAUAUAGCUCUUUAAGUCUCCUCAGACCAUCUCAGACCUAGACUAAUUUUCCAGGAGGUCCUCCAUAAACCUUUUCUUCAGAGUUCCGAGCUUGCUAGUGGGUAGAUUUGGCAGAGAAGUGCAAACUAAAGAGGUUAUGCAUAAAAAAAAUCACUUGUGACCUGAAAAUUAUUUCAGUGUGGGAUUGGGGCUCCACGUGGUUGAGUAGAAAGAGCCCUGGGCCAGAGACGGGAUGCCUGACUGCUUCCCCAGCCCUGCCACUAACUAGCUGGGGAGCCCCAGAAGAGGAAGUUAACCUCUCUGCGCAUCUGUAAUGUAACCUAUAAAAUGCCAUCAAAAACCCUUAUCACAUUUCAUUUUCCUUUAUCCUCACAAGAACUCCCUAAGGUAGAUAGUUCUCUUCCCAUAUUAGAGGUGAAGAAAUAGAAACUUAGAGAAUUGUGACUUGCCCAAUAUCAUUCAGCUAGUAAGGGGCACAAUCUGAUAAAAAUUGGACUUUUGAGCACAGAAUGUUCUCCUAACCUCCCAGAUAGACUACCUAUAUUUUGAGGGGAGAAAUGGAUAUUAAAGUUUCAAAGCACUUUAAAGGGGUUUAGACAAAUAUUUAUUACAAUCAUUCUGGGGGGUUAUAAUCCUCAGGAGGCACCUGUCCUCAAGUCGUUUUCAGCUCAUUGACUUUCUUAUUCAUUGCUUUUCAUGUGGAUCUGUGAGUAUCAAACCACACUUAUCCUCUUUCACCUCAUUUGUUUUUGUUGUCCUUUCUCCUCCCACAGUGGCUGCUUUCAGAGGGGAGCCAGCACCACUUCUUGCCAAGUGAAGGAGUCUAAGUGCAGGAAGCCACACUCACACACUCACAAGCAGGCACACAAAUGCCCACACUCAGCAACGCACGCACGUGCACACACAUGUAUUCCUAUUAGUUUGUUACACACAUCCAUGGUUUCAGAACUUGACAAUUUAAGAGUCUGUCGUUAUUAUGACAGUGCAUAUGUCAUGUAUAAAUAAUUUCCCAGAAUUGGGCUUUGAAGUGAAAAAUGCUAUGAUAAAGUGAUAGAAAGUGAAGGGAUAUUUAACAAGGAGAACACCAAGAAACUUAGAACCUUGAAUUCUGCUCUAAGCUUAUGAAUUUCUCCCAGCUCACUCAGCCUCCUUGAGAGACCCUUACCCUUGGUGGGCAA